rnacentral:rRNA from 1 species
UAAGCAUAUCAAUAAGCGGAGGAAAAGAAACUAACAAGGAUUCCCCUAGUAACUGCGAGUGAAGCGGGAAAAGCUCAAAUUUGAAAUCUGGCAGUCUUGGACUGUCCGAGUUGUAAUCUAGAGAAGUGUUACCUGUGCUGGACCGUGUAAAAGUCUUCUGGAAUGAAGCAUCAUAGAGGGUGAGAAUCCCGUCUUUGACACGGACUGCUGGUGCGUGAUGGUGCGCUCUCAAAGAGUCGAGUUGUUUGGGAUUGCAGCUCAAAAUGGGUGGUAAAUGCCAUCUAAAGCUAAAUAUUGGCGAGAGACCGAUAGCGAACAAGUACCGUGAGGGAAAGAUGAAAAGUACUUUGGAAAGAGAGUUAAACAGUAUGUGAAAUUGCUGAAAGGGAAACGCUUGAAGUCAGUCAUGUCGGCUAGGAAUCAGCCUGCUUUUGCGUGGUGCAUUUUUCUUGUCGAUGGGUCAGCAUCAAUUCUGAUCAUUGGAAAAAGACUUUGGGAAUGUGGCAUCUUUGGAUGUGUUAUAGCCCAUUGUCGUAUACAGUGAUGGGGAUUGAGGAACUCAGCACACCGCAAGGCCGGGUCUCGACCACGUUUGUGCUUAGGAUGCUGGCAUAAUGGCUUUAAUCGACCCGUCUUGAAACACGGACCAAGGAGUCUAACAUGCCUGCGAGUGUUUGGGUGGAAAACCCAUGCGCGCAAUGAAAGUGAAAAGUUGAGAUCCCUGCGAAGGGAGCAUUGACGCCCGGACCGGACCUUUUGCGAUGGAUCCGCGGUAGAGCAUGUAUGUUGGGACCCGAAAGAUGGUGAACUAUGCCUGAAUAGGGUGAAGCCAGAGGAAACUCUGGUGGAGGCUCGUAGCGAUUCUGACGUGCAAAUCGAUCGUCAAAUUUGGGUAUAGGGGCGAAAGACUAAUCGAAC